UGGUGAAGCGGUGAAUUUAAGCCCCAGUAAACGGCGGUGGUAACUAUAACCAUCCUAAGGUAGCGAAAUUCCUUGUCGGGUAAGUUCCGACCUGCACGAAUGGCGUAACGACUUCUCCGCUGUCUCAACCGCGAACUCGGUGAAAUUGCAGUACGAGUAAAGAUGCUCGUUUCGCGCAGAAGGACGGAAAGACCCCGGGACCUUUACUAUAGCUUGGUAUUGGUGUUCGCUUGGACUUGUGUAGGAUAGGUGGGAGACUGUGAAGCUGCCGCGCCAGCGGUGGUGGAGUCGUCGUUGAAAUACCAUUCUGGUUCAAGCGGUCACCUCAACCUAGACCCGUGAUCCGGGUUGGGGACAGUGCCUGGUGGGUAGUUUAACUGGGGCGGUUGCCUCCUAAAAUGUAACGGAGGCGCUCAAAGGUUCCCUCAGCCUGGUUGGUAAUCAGGUGGCGAGUGCAAGUGUACAAGGGAGCUUGACUGUGAGACCGACGGGUCGAGCAGGUGCGAAAGCAGGAACUAGUGAUCCGGCCAUGGCACGUGGGUGCGUGGUCGCUCAACGGAUAAAAGGUACCCCGGGGAUAACAGGCUGAUCUUGCCCAAGAGUCCAUAUCGACGGCAUGGUUUGGCACCUCGAUGUCGGCUCGUCGCAUCCUGGGGCUGGAGUCGGUCCCAAGGGUUGGGCUGUUCGCCCAUUAAAGCGGUACGCGAGCUGGGUUCAGAACGUCGUGAGACAGUUCGGUCCCUAUCCGCUGCGCGCGUUGGAAAUUUGAGAAAGGCUGUCCUUAGUACGAGAGGACCGGGACGGACGAACCUCUGGUAUGUCAGUUGUACCGCCAGGUGCAUGGCUGAUUGGCUACGUUCGGGAGGGAUAACCGCUGAAAGCAUCUAAGCGGGAAGCCUGUUUCGAGAUGAGAUUUCCUGGCACUUUUGGUGUGUGAGGCUCCUUAUAGAUGAUGAGGUUGAUAGGCCGGGUAUGGAAGCGGGGACUGAAGACUCGUGGAGUUGACUGGUACUAAUAGGCCGAAGGCUUACUUUU
rnacentral:rRNA from 1 species